GAACGAGAAAGUGGAGCAAUCCAUGAGUAAAGUGGCGACCGGGUGAGUAACACGUGACUAACCUACCUUUUAGUGGGGGAUAACCCCGGGAAACCGGGGCUAAUACCGCAUAACAUCGCAAGAUCAAAGCAGCAAUGCGCUGGAAGAGGGGGUCGCGGCUGAUUAGCUAGUUGGCGGGGUAACGGCCCACCAAGGCGACGAUCAGUAGCUGGUCUGAGAGGAUGAUCAGCCUCACUGGGACUGAGACACGGCCCAGACUCCUACGGGAGGCAGCAGUGGGGAAUAUUGGACAAUGGGCGCAAGCCUGAUCCAGCCAUGCCGCGUGGGUGAUGAAGGCCCUAGGGUUGUAAAGCCCUUUCGGCGGGGAAGAUAAUGACGGUACCCGCAGAAGAAGCCCCGGCUAACUUCGUG
rnacentral:rRNA from 1 species